rnacentral:rRNA from 1 species
GAUGAACGCUGGCGGCGUGCCUAAUACAUGCAAGUCGAGCGAACGGACGAGAAGCUUGCUUCUCUGAUGUUAGCGGCGGACGGGUGAGUAACACGUGGAUAACCUACCUAUAAGACUGGGAUAACUUCGGGAAACCGUAGCUAAUACCGGAUAAUAUUUUGAACCGCAUGGUUCAAAAGUGAAAGACGGUCUUGCUGUCACUUAUAGAUGGAUCCGCGCUGCAUUAGCUAGUUGGUAAGGUAACGGCUUACCAAGGCAACGAUGCAUAGCCGACCUGAGAGGGUGACCGGCCACACUGGAACUGAGACACGGUCCAGACUCCUACGGGAGGCAGCAGUAGGGAAUCUUCCGCAAUGGGCGAAAGCCUGACGGAGCAACGCCGCGUGAGUGAUGAAGGUCUUCGGAUCGUAAAACUCUGUUAUUAGGGAAGAACAUAUGUGUAAGUAACUGUGCACAUCUUGACGGUACCUAAUCAGAAAGCCACGGCUAACUACG